AUUGAACGCUGGCGGCUGGCCUAACACAUGCAAGACGAACGAGUGCCGGACGGGUGUGUAAUGUCUGGGAAACUGCCGGAUGGAGGGGCAUAAAUACUGGAACCGGUAGCUAAUACCGCCUAUCAUCCGAUGUGCCCUGAUGGGAUUAGCUAGUGGGUGGGUUAACGGCUCACCAAGGCGAAGAUACCUAGCUGGACGGAGAGGAUGACCAGCCACACCGGAACUCAGACCCGGUCAAGACUCCGACGGUAGGCAGCAGUGGGGAAUAGUGCACAAGGGGCGCACGCCUGAUGAAGCCAUGACGCGUGUAUGAGGAAUGCCUGCGGGUUGUAGAGUACGUUCAGCGGGGAGGCGUUACCCGCAGAAGUAGCACUGGCGAACUCCGUGCCAGCAGCCGCGGUAAUAC
rnacentral:rRNA from 1 species